CCUCCUUAACGAUAAAUUCGCGUUUUAAACGCCCACACGAGUAAUCAAAUAUUAAGAAAGAACAUAUUGUUAUGUAAAAUUAUUGGUAUGUAAUUUUCUAGUGUAUGCAUAUGCAUACAUAAGAUCACUGCAAUUAAAAAGUAAUUAAUAAUAUUUUAUUAAGUUACUCUCAAAAAAAUAAUUAAGUAACCUUUUUUAAGGUUAUAUGAUCAAGUAAAGGAAGAGCACAAGGCGGAUGCCUUGGCAGCAUAAGGCGAUGAAGGACGUAAUAACCUGCGAUAAGCCUCGGGGAGCUGGUAAAUAAGCUUCGAUCCGAGGAUUUCCGA
rnacentral:misc_RNA from 1 species